GGGGAGCUGGCGCAUGGCAGCCCAGUAGGGUUUGGGGCUUUGCUGCUCAUGAAAAUCAAUGAUCCGGUUCCAGGCUAAGCUUCCCG
rnacentral:tRNA from 1 species